rnacentral:rRNA from 1 species
UUCGCAAUGCCCGAAAGGGUGACGAUGCGACGCCGCGUGAGCGAAGAAGGCCCUAGGGUUGUAAAGCUCUGUCGGGGGUUAAGAAAUGCAGGUUGGCUGAUACCCACCUUGUUUGACAAAGGCCCCAAAGGAAGCCACGGCUAACUCUGUGCCAGCAGCCGCGGUAAUACAGAGGUGGCAAGCGUUGUUCGGUAUUAUUGGGCGUAAAGAGCACGUAGGUGGUUUUGUAAGUCAGAUGUGAAAGCCUUCUGUUCAAAGGAAGAACGGCAUCUGAAACUGCAAGUCUUGAGUGUAGGAGGGGAGAGUGGAACUUCUGGUGGAGCGGUGAAAUGCGUAGAUAUCAGAAGGAACGUCGGCAGCGAAAGCGACUCUCUGGCCUAUUACUGACACUGAGUGUGCGAAAGUUAGGGGAGCAAACGGGAUUAGAUACCCCGGUAGUCCUAACUGUAAACGAUGGGCACUAAGUAGAGGGGUUUUA